UACGUAGGGUCCGAGCGUUUGUCCGGAAUUAUUGGGCGUAAAGAGCUCGUAGGCGGUUUGUCGCGUCUGCCGUGAAAGUCCGGGGCUCAACUCCGGAUCUGCGGUGGGUACGGGCAGACUAGAGUGAUGUAGGGGAGACUGGAAUUCCUGGUGUAGCGGUGAAAUGCGCAGAUAUCAGGAGGAACACCGAUGGCGAAGGCAGGUCUCUGGGCAUUAACUGACGCUGAGGAGCGAAAGCAUGGGGAGCGAACAGG
rnacentral:rRNA from 1 species